rnacentral:rRNA from 1 species
GUCCACGCCCUAAACGAUGAUUACUCGACAUACGUGAUACACAAUGUGUGUCUGAGCGAAAGCAUUAAGUAAUCCACCUGGGAAGUACGACCGCAAGGUUGAAACUCAAAGGAAUUGACGGGGGGUCCGGCACAAGCGGUGGGAGCAUGUGGUUUAAUUUCGAUGAUACGCGAGGAACCUUACCUGGGGCUAGAAUGCUGGGGGACCGUGGGUGAAAGCUCACUUUGUAGCAAUACACCGCCAGUAAGGUGCUGCAUGGCUGUCGU